rnacentral:rRNA from 1 species
UGAGAGACUCCCCCGCCGAAAGACCAAGGGUUCCUGCUUAAAGUUAAUCUGAGCAGGGUUAGCCGGCCCCUAAGACGAGGCGGAAACGCGUAGUCGAUGGGAACCACGUUAAUAUUCGUGGGCCUGGAGGUAGUGACGGAUCGCACAAGUUGUCCAAUCUUAUCGGAUUGAACGGGCAGCGGAGCGGUUCCAGGAAAUAGCUCCCACUUAUAGACCGUACCCGAAACCGACACUGGUGGUCAGGUAGAGUAUACCAAGGCGCUUGAGAGAACUAUGUUGAAGGAACUCGGCAAUUUACCUCCGUAACUUCGGGAUAAGGAGGCCCAUUGCUCGCGCAAGCGGGCAGUGGGGGCACAGACCAGGGGGUGGCAACUGUUUAACAAAAACACAGGGCUCUGCGAAAUCGCAAGAUGACGUAUAGGGUCUGACGCCUGCCCGGUGCUGGAAGGUUAAGAGGAG